rnacentral:rRNA from 1 species
GAUGAACGCUGGCGGCGUGCCUAAUACAUGCAAGUCGAGCGAACAGACGAGGAGCUUGCUCCUCUGACGUUAGCGGCGGACGGGUGAGUAACACGUGGAUAACCUACCUAUAAGACUGGGAUAACUUCGGGAAACCGUAGCUAAUACCGGAUAAUAUAUUGAACCGCAUGGUUCAAUAGUGAAAGACGGUUUUGCUGUCACUUAUAGAUGGAUCCGCGCCGCAUUAGCUAGUUGGUAAGGUAACGGCUUACCAAGGCAACGAUGCGUAGCCGACCUGAGAGGGUGAUCGGCCACACUGGAACUGAGACACGGUCCAGACUCCUACGGGAGGCAGCAGUAGGGAAUCUUCCGCAAUGGGCGAAAGCCUGACGGAGCAACGCCGCGUGAGUGACGAAGGUCUUCGGAUCGUAAAACUCUGUUAUUAGGGAAGAACAAAUGUGUAAGUAACUAUGCACGUCUUGACGGUACCUAAUCAGAAAGCCACGGCUAACUACGUG